GAUUAACGCUGGCGGCGUGCAUAACACAUUCAAGUCGAACGGAGUAGAUGCUUCGGUGUCUACUUAGUGGCGGACGGGUGAGUAACGCGUGAGUAAUCUACCUUCCAGUGCGGAAUAACAACCGGAAACAGUUGCUAAUACCGCAUGACAUGGCAGCAUCGCAUGGUGCAACCAUCAAAGAUUUAUCGCUGGAAGAUGAGCUUGCGUCCGAUCAGAUAGUUGGCGGAGUAACAGCCCACCAAGUCGACGAUCGGUAGCCGGACUGAGAGGUUGAACGGCCACAUUGGAACUGAGAUACGGUCCAGACUCCUACGGGAGGCAGCAGUGGGGAAUAUUGGGCAAUGGGCGAAAGCCUGACCCAGCGACGCCGCGUGAGGGAAGAAGAUCUUCGGAUUGUAAACCUUAGUCAACAGGGAAGAAGAAAGUGACGGUACCUGUGGAGGAAGCCACGGCUAACUACGUGCCAGCCGCCGCGGUAACAC
rnacentral:rRNA from 1 species